rnacentral:rRNA from 1 species
AUUGAACGCUGGCGGCAGGCCUAACACAUGCAAGUCGAACGAGGGGCGGACGGGUGAGAAAUGUCUGAGAAAGUGCCAGAUGGAGGGGGAACAAUAGUGGAAACGGUAUCUAAUAGCGCAUACCAGAGGAUGUGCCGAGAUGGGAUUAGCUAGUAGGUGGGGUAACGGCGCACCUAGGCGACGAUCCCUAGCUGGUCUGAGAGGAUGACCAGCCACACUGGAACUGAGACACGGUCCAGACUCCUACGGGAGGCAGCAGUGGGGAAUAUUGCACAAUGGGCGCAAGCCUGAUGCAGCCAUGCCGCGUGUAUGAAGAAGGCCUUCGGGUUGUAAAGUACUUUCAGCGAGGAGGCGUUACUCGCAGAAGAAGCACCGGCUAACUCCGUGCCAGCAGCCGCGGUAAUAC